rnacentral:rRNA from 1 species
AUUGAACGCUGGCGGCAGGCCUAACACAUGCAAGUCGCACGAGUGGCGGACGGGUGAGUAAUGUCUGGGAAACUGCCCGAUGGAGGGGGCUAACUACUGGAAACGGUAGCUAAUACCGCCUACCAUCGGAUGUGCCCAGAUGGGUUUAGCUAGUAGGUGGGGUAACGGCGCACCUAGGCGACGAUCCCUAGCUGGUCUGAGAGGAGGACCAGCCACACUGGAACUGAGACACGGUCCAGACUCCUACGGGAGUCAGCAGUGGGGAAUAUUGCGCAAUGGGGGCAACCCGGACGCAGCCAUGCCGCGUGAAGGAAGAGGGCCUGCGGGUUGUAAAGUUCUGUCGGUAGCGAGGCGUUAACUACAGAAGAAGCACCGGCUAACUCCGUGCCAGCAGCCGCGGUAAUUC